rnacentral:lncRNA from 1 species
CCCUAAUAACCAUCUUAAUAUUAGAGAUUUCCCCUUUGCCUUAGUUUUCUUUGCUUCAAAUCCAUACCUGCCCAUUGUCCAAUUCUGCCUUUACCUCCUUCAAAUCUUAGGUGCAGAUGUGCCUCCUAUAAAACAUUAUCCCAACAUUUCUAUCCAACUCAGAUCAUAUUUAUUCUAGGCUUUUUACAUUCCUUCCCCUCCAAGUAUAAAUAUAAAGUUUCUGCUCCAUCUCUGGCCUCCCAACCACACUCAAGAUGAAUUGUUUAGUGACCUUAGCUAAACUUCCAGAUAUAUGGGGGCUGGCCUCAAGGUUGAAUAAUAGAAGGCAACGUCUUGCCCUUUCCUUCCUCAGAGGGUAAGGUUUCCACAUGACUCCAAAGACUUAGUCUCAAGCUACAGAAUAGUCCCCCUUAUCCACGGUUUGCCUUUCCACAGUUUCAGUUACCUGUGGUCAACUGCCAUCUGAAAGCAGAUGGUCCUCCUUCUGACCUAUCAUCGGAAGGCCACUAGUAGACUAAUGCUGUGUCACAACGCCUACAUCAUUCACCUCCUCCAUCUCAUCACCUAGGCAUUUUAUCAUCUCACAUCAUCACAAGAAGGGUGAGUACAGUACGGUAAGAUAUUUUGAGAGAGAGAAAAGCCACAUGCACAUCACUGUUAUUACCGUAUAUUGUCAUAAUUGUUUUAUUACUGUUGUUGGUAACUGUUAUUGUUACUUACAAAUUUAAUUCUAUUUAUAAAUUCAACUUUAUCAUAGGUAUGUAUGUAUUGGAAAAAACAUAGCAUAUAUAGGAUUUAGGACUAUUUGUUGUUUCAGGCAUCACUCGGGGUCUUGGAACGUAUCCCCUAGAGAUAAAGGACCUUGUUUCUCUGCUCGCUGAUGUCCUGCUGACAUUCACUCCCUGGACACUCCACCUGGGAAAUCAAAGUCAGCAUAACCAGUGGCUUUAUCUUCGCUUGUACACGGGAGCCACCCCUCUACUCUCCUGUUACCUUGCCCGGAAACGAGCCUUGCUUCGGAAUAUUGGAUUUAAAUCUCAGUUG